UACGAAGGGGGCUAGCGUUGUUCGGAAUCACUGGGCGUAAAGCGCACGUAGGCGGAUCUUUAAGUCAGGGGUGAAAUCCCGAGGCUCAACCUCGGAACUGCCUUUGAUACUGGAGAGCUUGAGUCCGGGAGAGGUGAGUGGAACUGCGAGUGUAGAGGUGAAAUUCGUAGAUAUCGCAAGAACACCAGUGGCGAAGGCGGCUCACUGGCCCGGUACUGACGCUGAGGUGCGAAAGCGUGGGGAGCAAACAGG
rnacentral:rRNA from 1 species